GAUGAACGCUGGCGGUCUGCUUAACACAUGCAAGUCGAACGAACUUCUUCGGAGUGAGUGGCGGAACGGGUGAGUAACGCGUGAGAAUCUGCCUGUGGGUCGGGACAACCACUGGAAACGGUGGCUAAUACCGGAUGAGCCGAAAGGUAAAGACUUUAUUGCCCACAGAUGAGCUCGCGUCUGAUUAGCUAAGUUGGUAAGGUAAAAGCGUACCAAGGCGACGAUCAGUAGCUGGUCUGAGAGGAUGAGCAGCCACACUGGGACUGAGACACGGCCCAGACUCCUACGGAGGCAGCAGUGGGAAUUUCCGCAAUGGGCGAAAGCCUGACGGAGGCAAGACCGCGUGGGGGAGGAAGGGUUUUUGGAAUCGUAAACCCUUUGUCAAGGAAGAAGCUCUGACGGUACUUGACG
rnacentral:rRNA from 1 species